AUUGAACGCUGGCGGCAGGCUUAACACAUGCAAGUCGACCGAGUGGCGGACGUGUGAGUAAUGCUUGGGAAUCUCGCUUAUGGAGGGGGAUAACUACGGGAAACUGUAGCUAAUACCGCAUCCCAUCGGAUGUGCCCAGAUGUGAUUAGCUAUUAGGUGGGGUAAAGGAUCACCUAGGCGACGAUCCCUAGCUGGUCUGAGAGGAUGGCCAGCCAAACUGGAACUGAGACACGGUCCAGACUCCUACGGGAGGCAGCAGUGGGGAAUAUUGCACAAUGGGCGAAAGCCUGAUGCAGCCAUGCCGCGUGUAUGAAGAAGGCCUUCGGGUUGUAAAGUACUUUCAGCGGGGAGGCGUUACCCGAAGAAGAAGCACCGGCUAACUCCGUGCCAGCAGCCGCGGUAAUAC
rnacentral:rRNA from 1 species